rnacentral:rRNA from 1 species
CGCCUCCCGUCCCCUAUGAGAGGUCCAGCCUGCCCAGUGGAUUUACUAAACGGCCGCGGUACCCUAACCGUGCUAAGGUAGCGCAAUCACUUGUCCCCUAAAUAGGGACUUGUAUGAAUGGCACCACGAGGGUUAUCCUGUCUCCCCCCUUUAAUCAGUGAAACUGACCUCCCCGUGAAGAGGCGGGGAUAAACAUAUAAGACGAGAAGACCCCAUGGAGCUUUAAAUACACACCACCUACUCUUCUUACACCCAUCAAACCAAGUAGCCUGGCCACUGUUUUAGGUUGGGGCGACCACGGAGUAAAACUCAACCUCCGAGACGAACAAUAAUUCAAGAACAACAACUCAAAAAAUCAAAACUGACGUAAUUGACCCAAGCUCAUUUGAUCAACGAACCAAGUUACCCUGGGGAUAACAGCGCAAUCCAUUUCAAGAGCCCCUAUCAACAAAUGGGUUUACGACCUCGAUGUUGGAUCAGGGUACCCCAGUGGUGUAGCCGCUACUAAAGGUUCGUUUGUUCAACGAUUAAAACCCU